rnacentral:rRNA from 1 species
UAUAUGUUAAGUGGAAAAGGAUGUGGGGUUGCUUAGACAACCAGGAUGUUGGCUUAGAAGCAGCCACCAUUGAAAGAGUGCGUAAUAGCUCACUGGUCGAGUGACCCCGCGCCGAAAAUGUACCGGGGCUAAACAUAUUACCGAAACUGUGGAUGAACCUCUUUAGAGGUUCGUGGUAGGAGAGCGUUCUAAGGGCGGUGAAGUCAGACCGGAAGGACUGGUGGAGCGCUUAGAAGUGAGAAUGCCGGUAUGAGUAGCGAAAGAAGGGUGAGAAUCCCUUCCACCGAAUAUCUAAGGUUUCCUGAGGAAGGCUCGUCCGCUCAGGGUUAGUCGGGACCUAAGCCGAGGCCGAUAGGCGUAGGCGAUGGACAACAGGUAGAGAUUCCUGUACCAGUGCUAAUUGUUUAACCGAUGGGGUGACACAGAAGGAUAGGGAAUCGCACGAAUGGAAAUGUGCGUCCAAGCAGUGAGUGUGAGAAGUAGGCAAAUCCGCUUCUCGCGAAGCAUGAGCUGUGAUGGGGAAGGAAAUUAAGUACGGAAGUUCCUGAUUUCACGCUGUCAAGAAAAGCCUCUAGGAAGAGUAGUACUGCCCGUACCGCAAACCGACACAGGUAGAUGAGGAGAGAAUCCUAAGGUGAGCGAGAGAACUCUCGUUAAGGAACUCGGCAAAAUGACCCCGUAACUUCGGGAGAAGGGGUGCUCUAUUAGGGUGCAAGCCCGAGAGAGCCGCAGUGAAUAGGCCCAGGCGACUGUUUAGCAAAAACACAGGUCUCUGCAAAACCGUAAGGUGACGUAUAGGGGCUGACGCCUGCCCGGUGCUGGAAGGUUAAGAGGAGUGCUUAGCUUCGGCGAAGGUACGAAUUGAAGCCCCAGUAAACGGCGGCCGUAACUAUAACGGUCCUAAGGUAGCGAAAUUCCUUGUCGGGUAAGUUCCGACCCGCACGAAAGGCGCAACGAUCUGGGCACUGUCUCAACGAGAGACUCGGUGAAAUUAUAGUACCUGUGAAGAUGCAGGUUACCCGCGACAGGACGGAAAGACCCCGUGGAGCUUUACUGCAACCUGAUAUGGAAUGUUUGUACCGCUUGUACAGGAUAGGUAGGAGCCGAAGAGACGUGUGCGCUAGCAUACGAGGAGGCAAUGGUGGGAUACUACCCUGGCUGUAUGACCAUUCUAACCCGCCACGCUUAGCGCGUGGGGAGACAGUGUCAGGUGGGCAGUUUGACUGGGGCGGUCGCCUCCUAAAGAGUAACGGAGGCGCCCAAAGGUUCCCUCAGAAUGGAUGGAAAUCAUUCGCAGAGUGUAAAGGCACAAGGGAGCUUGACUGCGAGACUGACAAGUCGAGCAGGGACGAAAGUCGGGCUUAGUGAUCCGGUGGUUCCGCAUGGAAGGGCCAUCGCUCAACGGAUAAAAGCUACCCCGGGGAUAACAGGCUUAUCUCCCCCAAGAGUCCACAUCGACGGGGAGGUUUGGCACCUCGAUGUCGGCUCGUCGCAUCCUGGGGCUGUAGUCGGUCCCAAGGGUUGGGCUGUUCGCCCAUUAAAGCGGCACGCGAGCUGGGUUCAGAACGUCGUGAGACAGUUCGGUCCCUAUCCGUCGCGGGCGCAGGAAAUUUGAGAGGAGCUGUCCUUAGUACGAGAGGACCGGGAUGGACACACCGCUGGUGUACCAGUUGUUCCGCCAGGAGCAUCGCUGGGUAGCUAUGUGUGGCAGGGAUAAACGCUGAAAGCAUCUAAGCGUGAAGCCCCCCUCAAGAUGAGAUUUCCCAUUUCUUCGGAAAGUAAGAUCCCUGAAAGAUGAUCAGGUAGAUAGGUUUGGAGUGGAAGUGUAGCGAUACAUGGAGCGGACAAAUACUAAUCGAUCGAGGACUUAACCAA